rnacentral:sRNA from 1 species
AUAAAAGGUGAGCAAGUUGGAUAGAUGGUGGCUAAUCUCAUUAUAAAUGGGGGGAUACCUAUGAAAUAUGGUUUGACUUUUAGAAAGAAGUAACAUUGACUUAUUAUGAAAUGUUGAUGAUUGUUUUGACAAUCAUUGGCCUAGUAUUAGUUAGUAAA